AACGCGAAGAACCUUACCAGCCUUUGACAUGGCGGGACGGUCCAGAGAGACUUGGAUCUUCACUUCGGUGACCCGCGCACAGGUGCUGCAUGGCUGUCGUCAGCUCGUGUCGUGAGAUGUUGGGUUAAGUCCCGCAACGAGCGCAACCCACGUCCUCAGUUGCCAUCAUUCAGUUGGGCACUCUGGGGAGACUGCCGGUGAUAAGCCGCGAGGAAGGUGUGGAUGACGUCAAGUCCUCAUGGCCCUUACGGGCUGGGCUACACACGUGCUACAAUGGCGGUGACAGAGGGACGCGAGCCCGCGAGGGUCAGCCAAUCUCAAAAAGCCGUCUCAGUUUGGAUUGCACUCUGCAACUCGAGUGCAUGAAGUUGGAAUCGCUAGUAAUCGUGGAUCAGCACGCCACGGUGAAUACGUUCCCGGGUCUUGUACACACCG
rnacentral:rRNA from 1 species